rfam:Caldisphaera lagunensis DSM 15908, complete genome.
GGGCCCGUAGCUCAGCCAGGAUAGAGUGUCAGCCUCCGGAGCUGAAGGGCGCGGGUUCAAAUCCCGCCGGGCCCA